UACGAAGGGUGCAAGCGUUACUCGGAAUUACUGGGCGUAAAGCGUGCGUAGGCGGGUUGGUAAGUCCGCUGUGAAAGCCCGGAGCUUAACUCCGGAGGGUCGGUGGAUACUGCCAGUCUUGAAGGUGCUAGGGGGAGAUGGAAUUACCGGUGUAGCGGUGAAAUGCGUAGAUAUCGGUAGGAACACCAGUGGCGAAGGCGGUCUCCUGGGGCAUUCUUGACGCUGAGGCGCGAAAGCUGGGGGAGCAAACGGG
rnacentral:rRNA from 1 species